rnacentral:rRNA from 1 species
GCAGUCGAACGAGUUCUCGUUGAUGAUCGGUGCUUGCACCGAGAUUCAACAUGGAACGAGUGGCGGACGGGUGAGUAACACGUGGGUAACCUGCCCUUAAGUGGGGGAUAACAUUUGGAAACAGAUGCUAAUACCGCAUAGAUCCAAGAACCGCAUGGUUCUUGGCUGAAAGAUGGCGUAAGCUAUCGCUUUUGGAUGGACCCGCGGCGUAUUAGCUAGUUGGUGAGGUAAUGGCUCACCAAGGCGAUGAUACGUAGCCGAACUGAGAGGUUGAUCGGCCACAUUGGGACUGAGACACGGCCCAAACUCCUACGGGAGGCAGCAGUAGGGAAUCUUCCACAAUGGACGCAAGUCUGAUGGAGCAACGCCGCGUGAGUGAAGAAGGCUUUCGGGUCGUAAAACUCUGUUGUUGGAGAAGAAUGGUCGGCAGAGUAACUGUUGUCGGCGUGACGGUAUCCAACCAGAAAGCCACGGCUAACUACGUGCCAGCAGCCGCGGUAAUACGUAGGUGGCAAGCGUUAUCCGGAUUUAUUGGGCGUAAAGCGAGCGCAGGCGGUUUUUUAAGUCUGAUGUGAAAGCCCUCGGCUUAACCGAGGAAGCGCAUCGGAAACUGGGAAACUUGAGUGCAGAAGAGGACAGUGGAACUCCAUGUGUAGCGGUGAAAUGCGUAGAUAUAUGGAAGAACACCAGUGGCGAAGGCGGCUGUCUGGUCUGUAACUGACGCUGAGGCUCGAAAGCAUGGGUAGCGAACAGGAUUAGAUACCCUGGUAGUCCAUGCCGUAAACGAUGAAUGCUAGGUGUUGGAAGGGUUUCCGCCCUUCAGUGCCGCAGCUAACGCAUUAAGCAUUCCGCCCGGGGGAGUACGACCGCAAGGUUGAAAACUCAGAGGAAUUGACGGGGGGCCCGCACAAGCGGUGGAAGCAUGGGGGUUUAAAUUCGAAGCAACGCCGAAGAAACCUUACCAGGUC